CUACGGGAGGCAGCAGUGGGGAAUCUUGCACAAUGGAGGAAACUCUGAUGCAGCGAUGCCGCGUGAGUGAAGAAGGCCCUUGGGUUGUAAAGCUCUUUCGUCGGGGAAGAAAAUGACUGUACCCGAAUAAGAAGGUCCGGCUAACUUCGUGCCAGCAGCCGCGGUAAUACGAAGGGACCUAGCGUAGUUCGGAAUUACUGGGCUUAAAGAGUUCGUAGGUGGUUGAAAAAGUUGGUGGUGAAAUCCCAGAGCUUAACUCUGGAACUGCCAUCAAAACUUUUCAGCUAGAGUAUGAUAGAGGAAAGCAGAAUUUCUAGUGUAGAGGUGAAAUUCGUAGAUAUUAGAAAGAAUACCAAUUGCGAAGGCAGCUUUCUGGAUCAUUACUGACACUGAGGAACGAAAGCAUGGGUAGCGAAGAGGAUUAGAUACCCUCGUAGUCCAUGCCGUAAACGAUGUGUGUUAGACGUUGGAAAUUUAUUUUCAGUGUCGCAGCGAAAGCGAUAAACACACCGCCUGGGGAGUACGACCGCAAGGUUAAAACUCAAAUGAAUUGACGGGGACCCGCACAAGUAGUGGAGCAUGUGGUUUAAUUCGAAGAUACGCGCAGAACCUUACCAACACUUGACAUGUUCGUCGCGACUCUAAGAGAUUAGAGUUUUCGGUUCGGCCGGACGAAACACAGGUGCUGCAUGGCUGUCGUCAGCUCGUGUCGUGAGAUGUUGGGUUAAGUCCCGCAACGAGCGCAACCCUCACUUUUAGUUGCCAUCAUUAAGUUGGGCACUCUGAAAGAACUGCCAGUGAUAAGCUGGAGGAAGGUGGGGAUGACGUCAAGUCCUCAUGGCCCUUACGUGUUGGGCUACACACGUGCUACAAUGGUAUCUACAACAGGAAGCAAGACUGCGAAGUUAAGCAAAUCCCUAAAAGAUACCUCAGUUCGGAUUGCACUCUGCAACUCGAGUGCAUGAAGCUGGAAUUACUAGUAAUCGUGGAUCAGCGUGCCACGGUGAAUGCGUUCCCGGGUCUUGUACACACCGCCCGUCACACCAUGGGAGUUGGUUCUACCUUAAGGCAAGGUUUCAAACCCUUGACCACGGUAUAGUCAGCGACUGGGGUGAAGUCGUAACAAGGUAGCCGUAGGGGAACCUGCGGCUG
rnacentral:rRNA from 1 species